CUUAGGAUGGGUCAAUUUUCAUUGUAUUUUAAUGUUAGAAAUUUGUAUUGCUUUUCUUGCUUGGCUAUUCAGUUUAGUUUAUAAUAAAAUCAGUGCUUUAACUUUUCCUUUUAGAGAAAAUCAAACUGAAUAAAGAAAAAUAUAUUUAUUUGGUUUUAAUAGGUUCUGUGGGAGGUAUCCUAUUGCUUUUCCUCAUUUUUGGUGCUGUAAUGUGGAUUGUCCUUUUGCAAAAGAAAAAACGCAAUUGUACCUGUGAAGCCCAAAGAAAUUAUUGUGUUGUUAAUUAUGAAGCUUCCCCACUCUAAAAAGAAAGCUUUGUCUUUAUAGCUACAGGACUAGAUAUUAUUCUUAGUUGGCAAUUUCUUCUGAGCAAGUUGGCAACAAAUCUCAUGCUGACAUCGACAGUUAUGCUAUGAGAAGCAAUGAAUGCAUAAUAUACUCCUGGAAAGCAAAUAUGAAGUAAUCAUUGAUAUGACACCAUGAUUUUGGUAUUAAAAUCAAGAGCCAUAAAUGCUUAAAAAAUAAUGGGUUUUGUAAAUACGAUUGUGUUACAAAAGUAAAAUUUUCAGAUAACAUUCUCUUGAACUGCAUACCAGUACAGGGAAUUUGACAAUUGAACAAUAUAAAUGGAUUCUUCAUGCCCAUGUGACCAAAAAACCAGUUAUCUGGGAAGAUAAAUGUAUGUCUCCUUUUAACUCUGUGGACUGAAAAUGGACUGAAAACCUGGUUGCUGUUGUCCCUCAUGAGUGAAUUGCUUAUAGAAGAUUGUGUAUGGACAAGUAUAAUGAAAUAUGGGACACAUUUAUAGAGAACACAACAGGUUAAAAGUUGUAUGAAUGUAUCAUAUACACAUUUUGAGUAAUAUUUGCAUUAGAGAUGUAUAGAUUUGUGACCAUUUAUUGUUGACAUACUUUUUGUUGCAUUUUUUCACUUUGUUAUAGCACUUUUUCUUUUUUUAUUGCAAUCACUAUGUUUUGUUAUGAAGCAUGCAUGCAUAAAAAUAAAUGUUUUAUUACUCUGAACUUCACCUAGGCCUUUGGUGAGACAGACUUUGAUCCUCCCAUUUCAUUGUGCUUGGCAGCUUUUUUUUUUUAUUGUUGUAAGCUGCCCAGAGUUGUUGAGGGUAUGGCAGCAUACGAAUUUAAUUAUCCAUUCAUAUUCAUGAAGGAGCAAAUACUUCAAGUGUGUUCAGCAA